rnacentral:misc_RNA from 1 species
GAUGAAGAACGUAGCGAAAUGCGAUAAGUAAUGUGAAUUGCAGAAUUCAGUGAAUCAUCGAAUCUUUGAACGCACCUUGCACCCUUUGGACUUCUCCAAAGGGUAUGCUCGUUUGAGUGUCAUUGUACUCUCACACUCUCUGAUCCUUUGGAUUUGGGGAGCAGUGGACUUGGGUGCUUGCUGCUUCCUUGUGGCUCACCUGAAAUGCAUCAGUGCAUCUCUCGAUUGGACAUAGUACGGCGUGAUAAGUGUCUUCGCCGGCACCUCAUAUGAGGGUGGCCGAUCGGGAGCUCUGUGCUUUCAAACCGUCUUCGGACAACGCUGACAACUUGACCUCAAAUCGAGUAGGACUACCCGCUGAACUUAAGCAUAUCAAUAAGCGGAGGA